AUAUGCUUGUUUCAGGAUUAAGCCAUGCAGCUCUAAGACUAACUGAGACUAAUAGGAGGUCUGCGAACGGCUCAUUAAAACAGAGAUAAUCUACCGGGGGAAUUGCAGCUUCUGCUGCCAUAUUGGAUAACUUCGCUAACGCGAAGCUAAUACAUGUAAGCACAUCGAGCGGUCAAUCAUUCCGGUUUACCGGAUCGAUCGUCUCGUGCUAAUGGUUGGAACAAAAACCAACGCCAGCAAUGGCAGUUUUUGUAAAGUGUUGAUUCAAACCAUUUAGCCUAAGCACGCUUCGGCGUGCGUGCCCCGAUGAGUCUCUGACCUAUCAGCUUUGACGGUAGUGUAUUGGACUACCGUGGCGAUCACGGGUACGGGGAAUUAGGGUUCGAUUCCGGAGAGGGAGCCUGAGAAACAGCUACCACUUCUACGGAGGGCAGCAGGCGCGUAAAUUGCCCAAUGCCAAAUUUGGUGAGGCAGCGAAGAGAAAUAGCGACCCAGACCUUCGGGUUUGGGAUCGAAAUGGGUGGUAUUUAAAUCCACCAACGAGUAACAAUUGGAGGACAAGUCUGGUGCCAGCACCCGCGGUAAUUCCAGCUCCAAUAGCGUAUAUUAAUGUUGUUGCUGUUAAAGGGUUCGUAGUUGAAUGCAGGGUUUGGGAGUUGUGUGGCCCUGCGGCCAUCACGUCAUCCCAUCCCUGUCGUUUAGACGGGAUCGACUGCCUUGCUGAGGUGGCGCCUUCAUUGGUGUCCCCAAAGCUGUUGAGUGAAGAGCUCAACGUACGCGUAACCACACGCUACAGGCCGCCCGUCGUUAUCACUGUGAAGAAAACAGCGUGUUCAAGGCAACCGCCUAGCGGUUGAAUGGCAAAGCAUGGAAUGACAAAGCAUCGACCAAUGGGUCUGGCUUUUGUUGGUUUUUACAACCCAUUUGGACAUCUCAUGUCUGGUUGGUCGUAUUCCCUUCGGGGUUGCGACCCCAGGCAGACACGGGAUUAAUGGGGGUUGUCGGGGGAAAACGUAUCUGAGCGAGAGAGGUGAAAUUCUUAGACCGCUCGGGGACGAACUUAUGCGAAGGCAUUUUCCAAGUAUACCUUCAUCAAUCAAGAACUAAAGUGUGGAGAUCGAAGAUGAUUAGAUACCAUUGUAGUCCACGACUGCAAACGAUGACGCCCAUGGAUCGGAAGUGAAUACUCACCCUCCGAGAUGGGAUUUUUUCGGCGCUGCUCUACCCUAUUAACGCGAAAGCUGAGGCUAUGGUCUCAUGGGGGAGUACGUUCGCAAGGCUGAAACUUAAAGAAAUUGACGGAAUGGCACCACCAGGCGUGGAGUGUGCGGUUUAAUUUGACUCAACACGGGGAACCUUACCAGUACAGGAAAACGCAAGGAUUGACAGAUUGAUAGUUCUUUCUUGAUUCGUUUGACGGUGGUGCAUGGCCGCUUUUGGUCGGUGAAGUGAUUUGUUUGGUUGAUUCCUUUAACGGACGAGACCCAAACCGCUUAAUAGGGGCACCAUCUGCUUUCGGGCAUGCGGAGCUAUAGUCUGGCCUCACGGUUGGCUGUAGCUUCAGAUGGUGAUACUCCUUCUUCGCGGCAUUCCCUGCUCUUUAGCUGGGUGGAAUUUUGGGCAACAGCAGGUCCGUGAUGCUCCUAAAUGUACUGGGCGACACGCGCACUACAAUGACAAAGUGAAUGAGUGAAACCUUUUGGUCCUGCCUCGAAAAGGGGUGGGUAAACUGGAAAAACUAUGUCGUGCUAGGGAUCGAAGCUUGCAAUUAUUCUUCGUGAACGAGGAAUGCCUAGUAGAUGUGCUUCAUCAAAGCACAUUGACUACGUCCCUGCCAUUUGUACACACCGCCCGUCGUUGUUACCGAUGCCAGUUGGAUACAGGUCAACGGACUUUCGGUAGGCUUCGGCUUACCGAGGGAUAAGUUGCCCCAUGUUUAACUAGUAGAGGAAGCAAAAGUCGUAACAAGGUAGCUGGG
rnacentral:rRNA from 1 species